ACCCCUCCUGUUCCUGCAGACCCACACACUACUUAUCUCCCUCUGGUCUGUCAAGGCUUCACACUCCAUUCUCCGGGAUAAAAACAUCUAAACUACAUACUUACUUUAGCAAGAACUUCACUCAUCCAAAACUUUGAGAGUAUUCAGAGACAGCGUUUUUUUGCUGCUGUUUUACGGCGAUGAAGAUUUUAUUUCCCCUCUGGCACAAGUGACAUAUUUUGUCUUAAAUGUGCGCCUGACAAGGCACAUGGGGUUUGGAAUCGACGUGCAUUGUCUGGGAAAACAAGGAGGGCAGAAAGGAUAGCUCAAAAAAAGUGGACUAACAGGAAGUGUCUGUUGCCACUCACU
rnacentral:lncRNA from 1 species